GUCUGUGAGUAGCUUAAGUUAUCCAAAGGAAAAACAGCUAAUCCUGCUAGUUCAGGAGCUAACGCUAGCCACCGUUGGCGUAGCCUAACGUUACCUAUGUAGAACGACAAAUAACCUAACUUACACAUGUGUAACAUUCUGUAAUUUGUGUGAUUUAGAUGUACAAUAUUGACAGCGGUAAGUAAGGACGGCGAACAUAUACCAAGAGCAAUGCAUUCAGACUUUACUCAAUGUUUUGGAUAAUGCUAACCAGUCACCUACCGCCGUCGCGAUGUGUAGAGUAGCGAAACAACCGAGAAUGCACCACGUUACGUCCUGUGGGGACGUAAAAAACUGACCGACCUGACAGUGGAGGUGGCCUGACAGUGGAGGUCUGCAGUUGGACCCCUCUCAAAUUAGGAGACCAAACCUAUGCCCCUCCAGAAGCUCCACUCAUGAAAUCCAAUAGAUGCACGGAACUGCAAAUGCCCCUGAAAAUGAUGAGGAGGAUGAGGAAAAUCGACACCUUCUAUAUCUGCAGUGCAAAUUUGACUGAUGAAGGUGAUGAUGGAGCCAUUAUCUUGCAGAGGGGCGUCUGUGUGUGUGUGUGUGUGUGUGUAGUAUGUACUGUAUAUGGACUAUACAGCGUCGUAAACCGCAGGGAUCAGAAGAGAUCAAAGGGUUAAUUGACUGUUAAGCCUCCAUGCUGUAGAGAUCAAAGACCUUCAAGUGUUACGAUCACAAUCAGCACCUUCUCCAUGCAAGAUGCUACUAGAUCCUCUCUGGCAAGGUCACUUGGAACUUUGGCUUUGUGAGGAUUUCUUGUGUGUGUCUCAGACCAGAUUUUGCGUUAGCGUGUGUGAAACUGCACAGAGUCUGUGAUCUCUUGAGACAGUGACAAUGCUUCUUUGGGAAUCCUCUGUUAUAAUGGUAAAGCUAUAUUUACAUGUGUAAAUGUUAAAUUGAUUUAUUGGAAGAAAAUUAAACAUCCAAAAUGUUUGUGUUCAUCA